rnacentral:rRNA from 1 species
GACGAAUGCUGGCUGCGUGCUUAACACAUGCAAGUCGAACGGUGAAAGGGAGCUUGCUCCCUGGAUCAGUGGCGAACGGGUGAGUAACACGUGGGCAACCUGCCCCUCACUCUGGGAUAACUCCGGGAAACCGGGGCUAAUACCGGAUACGACCUGGUGCGACAUCGCACCGGGUGGAAAGAACUUCGGUGAGGGAUGGGCCCGCGGCCUAUCAGCUUGUUGGUGGGGUAACGGCCCACCAAGGCGACGGCGGGUAGCCGGCCUGAGAGGGCGGACGGCCACACUGGGACUGAGACACGGCCCAGACUCCUACGGGAGGCAGCAGUGGGGAAUAUUGCGCAAUGGGCGAAAGCCUGACGCAGCGACGCAGCGUGAGGGACGAAGGCCUUCGGGUUGUAAACCUCUUUCAGCGGGGACGAAGCGAAAGUGACGGUACCCGCAGAAGAAGCACCGGCUAACUACGUGCCAGCCGCCGCUGUAAUAC